UACGAGUGCGUCGAGCGUUAUCCGGAAUCAUUGGGCGUAAAGAGCGUGUAGGCGGCUCGGUUAGUCCGCUGUGAAAGUCCAGGGCUCAACCCUGGAAUGCCGGUGGAUACUGUCGAGCUAGAGUCCGGAAGGGGCGAGUGGAAUUCCUGGUGUAGCGGUGAAAUGCGCAGAUAUCAGGAGGAACACCAAUGGCGAAGGCAGCUCGCUGGGACGUGACUGACGCUGAGACGCGAAAGCGUGGGGAGCAAACAGG
rnacentral:rRNA from 1 species